rnacentral:rRNA from 1 species
UUUAUCUGUCAGCAGAACCACAAUGUGAACAACUGCGCAACAUGGUCUAAGAUUCAACCUACUGCUACCUUCUUUGGCAGUGGACCUCAAGGUCUUGGUUUCUACCAUGUGGACGUCCCGGUUGCUAAUGAGUCAAAGUGGUUAAACUUCCAGAAUUGUGCGGUGGUGAAUAUCUUAAAAGGAGAAGUGGAUUGUGCUAAACUGAUGGAGCUGUUGUCUGCUACUUUCUGUAAGACUAAACACUGGCCAUGGCAAAUCAGAGGGCUCUCCAGCAAGACCUUUUUGGUCAGAUUUCCCCCUUGGAAGAAAGUGGAAGACCUCGUUGAACUGCCUGGAUUCUCCCUGCCACAGGAUGUGAAUGUAACAUUAACUGACUGGAAGGGAGGGUGUGAACCUUUUGGAGAGCUGGUUGAAGCUUGGGUACUAAUUGAGGGGAUUCCCCCAAAGUGGUGUACUUGGAAAGUUUUUGCCCAAAUUGCUUCACUAUUUGGGGUACUUACAGAUGUGGAUUGGAAUGGAAUGUUUAGAACCUUUUUUGAGAAUGUUAGAAUUAAAAUAGCCUGUAGGGAUCCAACUAAGAUUCCUUUUGAAAGACUGAUUGAGAUGAAGAAAAAUUUGUUCCUGUUUAGUUUCACUGUAGAGGGGUUUGAACAGACAGGUGGUGUUGACUCUGCUAUUGAUGUGGAUGAGGAUGAAGAUGGUAAUGAGGAUGAUAAGAGAGAGCUGAGGAAGAGCAAGCUGAAAAAGAUGGUGGAACUGUUGGGGAACGUAGUAAUUUCAAAAAAAUUCCUACGCACACGCAAGAUCAUGGUGAUGCAUAGCAACGAGAGGGGAGAGUGUUGUCCACGUACCCUCGUAGACCGAUAG